CGAACGGAGAUUACUUCGGUAAUCUUAGUGGCGAACGGGUGAGUAACGCGUGGGCAACCUGCCCUCUAGAUGGGGACAACAUCCCGAAAGGGGUGCUAAUACCGAAUGUGACAGCAAUCUCGCAUGAGGAUGCUGUGAAAGAUGGCCUCUAUUUAUAAGCUAUCGCUAGAGGAUGGGCCUGCGUCUGAUUAGCUAGUUGGUGGGGUAACGGCCUACCAAGGCGAUGAUCAGUAGCCGGUCUGAGAGGAUGAACGGCCACAUUGGGACUGAGACACGGCCCAGACUCCUACGGGAGGCAGCAGUGGGGAAUCUUCCGCAAUGGGCGAAAGCCUGACGGAGCAAUGCCGCGUGAGUGAUGAAGGAAUUCGUUCCGUAAAGCUCUUUUGUUUAUGACGAAUGUGCAGGCUGUGAAUAAUGACUUGUAAUGACGGUAGUAAACGAAUAAGCCACGGCUAACUACGUGCCAGCAGCCGCGGUAAUACGUAGGUGGCGAGCGUUGUCCGGAAUUAUUGGGCGUAAAGAGCAUGUAGGCGGUUUUUUAAGUCUGGAGUGAAAAUGCGGGGCUCAACCCCGUAUGGCUCUGGAUACUGGAAGACUUGAGUGCAGGAGAGGAAAGGGGAAUUCCCAGUGUAGCGGUGAAAUGCGUAGAUAUU
rnacentral:rRNA from 1 species